rnacentral:rRNA from 1 species
UACGUAGGCAGCGAGCGUUGUUCGGAUUUACUGGGCGUAAAGGGUGUGUAGGCGGUUGUUUAAGUUUGGUGUGAAAUCUCCCGGCUCAACUGGGAGGGUGCGCCGAAUACUGAAUGACUUCGAGUGCGGGAGAGGAGAGUGGAAUUCCUGGUGUAGCGGUGAAAUGCGUAGAUAUCGGGAGGAACACCAGUGGCGAAAGCGGCUACCUGGCCCAUUCUUGACGCUGAGGCGCGAAAGCUAGGGGAGCAAACGGG